GAUAAUAGCAAGAAUGGUUGCCUGGACUAGUUCUGGAAAAAUGAGAAAGAGUAAAAGGGGGGUUUAGCCUUGUUAAUGUUUGCAUUUGUAUGAGGAAGGAGGGGUUUGCAGAAGAAAACUACGUACUGCAGCCUUACAGUAAAGGUAAGAACAGGUCUCGCACUUUCCAAAAGAUAGUGAACAUCACCGAACAUUUUUUUGGCUUAGAUCCAAGUUCCAAUUAUACAGAUUAACUAAUUAAUACAUAAAUAUUCCAUCAAAAUGACUACUGACAUUUACACCUUUGAAAGAUCAUAGAAUGGCAUGUAUAUUUCAGGAAAGCUAACAAAACCAUUGUCUCCUCGAGUGGAAAUUUAGUUUGAUAGGCAGAAGCCCAUGAAGACUGAUAUGCACAAUCACAAUCACAAUCACAAUCAACAAUCACAAUCACAAUGAAUUCAGCUUCUUUUUUUAGCGGGGACUGUAAAGAAGAUGAAAUGCACACUGGAACUGCAAUCGAUGGAGAGAAUAUCAAAUGAAGUAUGCAAAGUGUCAAAUGAAGCAUUAAGCCUGCAAGGUCCUGCAGAUUGGACACUUAGCCUUGAUGGUUAGCCACCGAUCUAUACAUUCAGCAUGGAAACAAUGUUGGCAUUCAGGUAGGAACAUUAUUGUGUCCUUUGGAACAUAAUCUGCUAGGCAUAUUGCACAGGUUACACCAUUCGGUCCUUCAACCCGACGACUUUCACCAAUUGUGACCUUUUUGUAGGUUUCAAUGGUGGAUAGCCCUGGUGUCACCGUGUUUGAUAAACCAGCUGUUCCGGAAGUUUGGUCUGAACCACUGUCCCGAGGAUUGCCGCAUAACAUCAUGCAUAUGCAGCACGAUGUGCCUAUUAUCACUACCGGUACAAUCAGGGCUCCUAUGAGCAAUGACGAGGAAACGUUUCUAGAAACAGUUUCUUUACUUUCUGCACCUGCAUUUAUUUUAGCAAUGAAGGAAGUGGGAAAUAGAGCAGAAGUAUCCUUGGUUGACCGUGUUAGUAUAUGAUAAUAUAAAGUUUAGUUGACAUUGGCUUUGUCAAAUGUGUUUAUUAUAUUGCUCUUGCUGAAUAUAUUAGCAUUCCUCGUCAUAUAUUCGUAGUUAAUCUUUAUUCUGCAUUUGUGCUGUCAUCAUCAAGAAUACUUUGAUUCAAUUACUGUGACAGAUACUUUUAAUCUCAACCGAAAGCCUCAUGAAUAAUGAUCACGAUAAAUGGUAUGUGAAAUGCAAAUUAGUAGAAGAUCCUUACCCGUUGGAGUUGCAGGGACAUCAUCCCAUCUUAGAACCAAAUUGACUGGAAACGUAUACCCGUACAAAUAUGAAACUGGUAUUGGUACCGUGACCAUUUUCUUGCAAUUGGGUAAUAUCACUGCAGCUACCUCAUUCUUUAUAACCGAGAUAUCGGUGGUGGCGUUGCUGAGGCAAUGAACAAUAUAUAUAUCAUUAAUACCCAGGCCUUUAGGACAGCUGUGAUAGGUGUAAUUCUGAUAGGAAACAGCCAUGAACGGAGAAUACGAAAGAUUCGAGCUCAAAAAUUUCCUCGGGAGGCAAUUAUCGGGAUCGCUGAGCGUAAUUCUGUUAAGAUUGUAGUUGAUAUAACUUACAUAAAAAUCUCCAGCACGAGGAAUGUUUAAGAUUGCUUUACUCUGGUCAUUGCAACUUAGGUUGAACCCAAUUGGUUGACAGUUUGAGGGCAGUUGCCGACCUUGUAACCAGAAUGGGAACCUUAUGGCCUGGCUAUUGUUGUUACAGUAGGAAGGUGGACAAUUGUUUUGAGCAUGCACUAUAGAGAGGAAAAGGAAAACGAAAACGAAGAAGUUACGAAUAGCCAUAUGCCUAAUUGCCUAUGCUCCUUGGUUUAAAUUGGAGAAGAAAAAUAUAUGUUCUGAUUUUUAUAUAAGUUUCGAAAGUCAACUAAUCAGUUUCGGGGAGAUGCAUGCAAUGAUGGACUGUUCAACAAGAUUGUAGCUUGUACAAGUAUCCUUCUGCUGUUCUUUUCUUGAACAAAUCUACCUUAAAACAAGAUUGAACAAGUAAUCUAUAUAUAUAUAUAUAUAUAUAUAUAUAUAUAUAUAUAUAUAUAUAUAUAUAUAUAUAUAUAUAUAUAUAUAUAUAUAUAUUAAGUAUUUAGAAAGAGAACUUCUACAGACUGGACAAGUCGUAUUUUUCUGUAGCUACCGAUCUAUACAUUCAGCAUGAAAACAGAGUGACCACUAACUCUGUACAUUUCUUGACCUUGUAAGAAUUCUCAGUCCUGUUGGUGGCUCUUGCCGGAUCUGUAGGUAAAUCUCUGGUGGUCUGUGGUGGGCUAGGGUGGUGUGUGUCAGUGUGUGGUGGAGAAUUAUGUUCCAGUGGCAUCUGUUGUCGUGUUGUUGACCAGACAUAUUCGCCGUAGCAUAAGUUUCUGUAUUGCUUGUACAGUUUAAGUUUGAUUGUUGUCUUGUUGAUUUUUUUUUGAUCUUUUCUAGUUAUUUUUUCCGUUUACACUUUACGAGGUGGUGGCAAGAAUGCCACUUGUACUGCAGCUCGACAUAAAGGUAAAAAGAGGUCUCAUGCUUUCUAAAAGUACUAACUUCUUAUUCUCUAUGGACUGUGUAAAGAUGAUGAAAUGAACACUGGAACUGCAAUAUAUGAUAAAAUGAACUAUGUGCAAGUCAGUAUUAAGCCUGCGUGGUCCUGCAGAUGGGACACUUAGCCUUCAUGGUUAACCACUGAUCUAUACAUUCGACAUGGAAAUAAUGUUGGCAUUCAGGCAUGAGCCUUAUUGUGUCCUCUGGGUCAUAGUCUUCCAGGCAUAUUUUGCAGGUUACAUCAAUAGGUCCUUCGACCCAAUUUUGAUCCUUUUGUAGGCUUCGAUGGUGGAUAUGCCUAGCCCUGGUGUCACCGUGUCUGAUAAACCAGCUCGGUCGGAAGUUUGGUUUGAACCGCUGCCCCGAGUGUCCUCACGUCUCAUGAUGCGUAUGCAGCAGGUUAUGCCAACUAUCGCUGCUGGUAGUCAGGGCAGGUAUUACUAAUGACAAGGCAAUGAUUCGAGAAACAGAUCUUUUAUUUUCUACACCUGCAAUGACAGGUAUUCAUAUUUAAUCUGUAUUCUGCAUUUGCACUGUCAUCAUCAAGAAUUUUUUUUUUUCCAAUUAGAGUAUCGAUCAAAAGCCUCAUGAAUCAUGAUCAGGGUAAAUGGUAUGUGAAAUGGAAGUUAGCUAAGAUCCGUAGCGGUCGGAGGUACUUUCCAUGUUAACUCUAGAUCUACUGGAAACCGAGAUAUAUAAGAAGAUGAAACUGGGAGUGGUAAUGUGACAAUUAUCUUGCACUUUGUGAACAACCAUACAUCUGUUUCGUAGUUUGCAGCCACAAUAUCUGUUGUUGUGUUGCUGAGACAGUCCACGACAUACCUAGAACUUGCCAGGCCUUUAGGACAGCUAAGGAAGGUGUAGCUCUGAUAGUAAACAGCCAUGAAUGGAGAAGAUGAAAGAUUCAAGUUCAAAAGUCUCCGUGGGAGGCAAUUACCAGGAUCACUUAGGGAAACUCUUUUACUGUAGUAGUCGAUAGAAGUUGCAUUAAAAUUUCCAGAAUAAGGAAUGUUUAAAAUUGUUUUUUUCUGCCCCCCGCAACGUAUAUUAAACAUAUGGCUGACAGUUUUGGGUGAGUUGCUGACCUUGUAACCAGAAGGGGAACUUUAUGUACAGGCCAUUCUUGUCACAGUACGAAGCCGGACAAUAGUCCUGACCAUGCACUAGAGAGAGGAAAAGGAAAAUGAAAAAUUUAUGAAUGCCUCUGCUCCUUUGUUUAGAUUAGAGAAGAAACAGAUGUUUGGAAAGGCUUAUAGUUUCCAAAGUCAAAUAGUAGAUUUCAGGGGAAUCAAUGGCCUAUUCAACAAGAGUCUAGCUUGUGACAAUCUCCUUCUGAUGUUAUUUUUCUCAACAAAUCUACCGUAAUAUAAGAAUCUGAAAAUGUUGUAGCAGAGUAUUAAAACAAGUAUAUAUAUAUAUAUAUAUAUAUAUAUAUAUAUAUAUAUAUAUAUAUAUAUAUAUAUAUAUAUAUCCAUAGUAUGUAGAAAGAGAGCAUAUAAGUAACAAUGAGCAAUUGAACCUGACUAACGAUGCUUCCGAGAAAUUUGUUUGCCGGGAAAUGAAUUGCCUACUGCACCUGACUACUUUUUUUUUUCUUUUUUGAGGAAGCACCUGACUAACUUGGUUCAUACUUUUGAGCCAAUUUUACCAUAUGUGAAUAGAGUGUCUUUUUUUGAUUCUACUGAAAACACCUUGAAUUUAUGCCGUUCUAGACAAACGUACGUCAUAUUUCUAGUUAAUCUGCUGAAGCUUUUGAAAUGCAAUAUGAUGUACGAUAUUCCCCCUCAACGGUUUUUUGAGAAAACAUAGUACAGUUGACAUUGAAUGCUAUCUGGUUGAUUUUGGUUUUGAUAGCAAAGAUGAAUGUCUAAACUAGCUUUGAGGAAACGCUUGUAGUAAGACUGGGGUUUAGCCUUGUAAUGUUCACACUAGUACGAAGAAAGAAGGGUUUGCAGAAGAAUGCUACUCUUAUUGCAGCUUUACAGUAAAGGUAAGAACAUGUCUCGUGCUUUCCAAGAGAUGCUAUGCAUUAAUUUAUUUAUUUUUCACUUCCAACUAUACAGAUUAACUGAAUUAUACAUUCAGGUCUAAAUAAAGCAAUUAUUUAUACAUCAAAGUAACUAAACAGAUCGUCUCCUGAGGGCCAAUCUAGAUUGAUGGGGAGAAUCCCAUGAAGACUGAUAUGAACACUAGAACUGCAAUCGAUGGAGAGAAAAUCGAGCGAAGUCUGGAAAGCGUAAAAUGCAGUAUUAAGCCUGUGAGGCCCUGCAGAUUGGACACUUAGCCCUGAUGCUUAACCACUGAUCUAUACAUUCGACAUGGAAACAAUGUUGGCAUUCAGGCAUGACCCUUAUUGUAUCAUGUGGAACAUAAUCUACGAGGCAUAUUGCGCAGGUUAUAUCAUUAGGUCCUUCAAUCCGACGACUUUCACCAAUUGUGAUCUUUUUGUAGGUUUCGAUUGUGGAUAUGCCCAGCCCUGGUGUCACUGUGUCUGAUGAACUAGCUAUUCCGGAAGUUUGGUUUGAACCACUGUCCUGAAGGUUGUUGCGUCUCAUCAUGCAUAUGCAGCAUGAUAUGAUGAUUAUCACUACCGGAAUAACCAUGGAUGCUAUGACAAAUGACAAGGCAACGGUUCUAGAAACAGGUCGUUUAUUUUCUGUACCUGCAAAUUUUAGUUUAGUAUGGAAGGAUGGUAUUAGCUAGUGAAAGGCUUAUGCCAACCAAGAUUUAUUAUGAUAUUUUGCACAUUAAUCUUAACCGAAGUCAAGGAAAAAAAAAAAAAAAGGAAAACAAUCACGCGUUUUUAAACGAAAGGUGGAAAUAGAGCAGAAGUAUUCUUAGCUGACCAUGCCAGUAUGAUUGAUUAUACAAAGUUUAGUUGACAUUAUCUUUGUCAAUUAUGAUUAUUAUAUUGCUGUUACAGAUAAACAUAAUCUUCAUCAUAUAUUCAUAGAAUUCCUUGAUUCAAUUAAAGUAACAUAAUGGAUAAAAAGUUUGCUAAACGGAAACUAGUAAAGAUUCUUACCAAUGGCAGAGGUGAUCCAUGUUAGCUCGAGAUUGACUGGAAGCCCGUAAGGAGAUGAAAUUGGAAGUGUUGAUGUGAAAAGUUGCUCGCACUUGGUAGGUAUCGUCUGACCUGCUUCGUAAUUUAUAGCCGCCAUAUCUGUGGUUGUGUCGCUGAGGCAAUUUACGACAUAUCUAGAAUUAAUCGAACCUUUUGGACAGCUAAGGAAGAUGUAAGUCCGAUAGGAAACAGCUCUGAAUGGAGAAGAUGAAAGAUUCAAGCUCAAUAGUCUCCUCGGGAUGCAAUUAUCGGGAUCACUGAGGACAACGCGUUUAAUGUCGUAGUAUAUAGAACUUACAUAAAAAUCUCCAGAAUAAGGGAUGUUUACGAUUGCAUUUUUCUCGCCAAUGCAACUUAAAUUAAACCCACUAAGUCCGCAAGUUUGGGGUUGCUUACCUUGUAACCAGAAGGGGAACUGUAUGGCCAAGCCAUUUCCGCCACAGGAGGAACGUAGACAGUUGUUCUGGGCGUGCACUAGAGAGAGGAAAAGGAAAACGCAAAAAAAUUGAAUGGCCAUAUGCCUCUGCUCCUUACUUUAAACUGGAGAAGAGAAAAAUAUGCUUCAAGUUUUAUACUAGUUUCCAAAGUCAACUAAUAGGUUUCAGGGAGAUGCAAUGGCCUGGUCAACAAGAUUGUAGUUUGUACAAGUCUCCUUCUGCUGUUUCUUUUCUUGGACAAAUCUAUCCUCACAUAAGAAUCUGGAAAUGUUGUAGCAAAAUUACUAAGUAAUAAUUUUAGUAAUUAGACAGAGAUUCUACAAACUCGGCAUAUUCUUUUGAGCAAAGUGAACGAUACGUGAAAUAGGGUGUUAUUUAUGCCACUCUAGAAAAUGCGCUUCGUCAUUUUUAGUUAAUCUGCUGAAUCAUUUGAUGCACUUCGAUAUACGAGAAUCCUCUCAAGUGUUGACAGUAUGUAUUCACAGUAUCAUAAGUUGUUGUGUUACUUGUACAGUUUAAGUUGAAUGGCAUCUUGCUAAUUUUGGUUUAAUGUUUUUAUAUUGGCUUAGAUCCAACUAUACAGAUUAACUAAAUUAUGCAUUCAGGUUGAUACAUGCAACUACUAUUCCAUAAAAGUAACUAAACAGAUCGUUAUACCUUCUAGAAAGAUCAUAGAAUUACAUGAACACUCUUGGGAAAUCUAACAAAGCAAAUUUCUCCUCGACAGAAAAUCUAGAUUGAUGGGGAGAAUUCCAUGAAGACUGAUAUGAACACUGGAACUGCAAUCGGUGGAGAGAAAAUCAAACGAAGUCUGGAAAGUGUGAAAUGAAGUAUUAAGCUUGUGGGGUCCGGCAGAUUGGACACUUAGCCUUGAUGCUUAGCCACUGAUGGAUACAAUCGGCAUGGAAACAAUGUUGGCAUUCAGGUAGGAACAUUAUUGUGUCCUUUGGAACAUAAUCUGCAAGGCAUAUUGCGCAGGUUACACCGUUCGGUCCUUCAACCCGACGACUUUCACCAAUUGUGAUCUUUUUG
rnacentral:lncRNA from 1 species